rnacentral:rRNA from 1 species
UACAGAGGUCCCAAGCGUUGUUCGGAUUCACUGGGCGUAAAGGGUGCGCAGGUGGGUUUGCAAGUUCGAUGUGAAAGCCCCGGGCUUAACCCGGGAAUGGCAUUGGAUACUGCAGAUCUGGAGGAUCGGAGGGGGGGCUGGAAUUCUUGGUGUAGCAGUGAAAUGCGUAGAUAUCAAGAGGAACACCAGUGGCGAAGGCGAGUCCCUGGACGAUACCUGACACUGAGGCACGAAAGCUAGGGGAGCGAAAUGGG